rnacentral:rRNA from 1 species
GAUGAACGCUAGCGGCAGGCUUAAUACAUGCAAGUCGAGCGGAAGCAGGAGUGUAGCAAUACAGUGGCUGGCGACCGGGAAAGGGGUGCGGAACACGUACGCAACCUCCCCAAAACUGGGGGAUAGCCCGGGGAAACCCGGAUUAAUAGCACGUAACCUUGUUAAGUGGGAUCACUUGAUAAGUAUAGCUCCGGCGGUUUUUGAUGGGCGGGCGCCUGAUUAGGUAGUUGGUGCGUGUAACGGCGGACCAAGCCUGCGAUGAGUAACUGGUGUGAGCGAACGACCCGCCGCACGGGCACCGCGGCCCGGGCCCGACUGCUACGCGAGGCAGCAGUAAGGAAUAUUGGUCACUGGAGGCUAGUCUGAACCAGCCAUGCCGCGUGAAGGAUGCAUGUCCUCUGGAUUGUAAGCUUCUUUUAUGGGGGACGAAUCCCGGAUAUUCUUAACAGAUUGACGGUACCUAAGGAAUAAGCCCCGGCUAACUCCGUG